CAUAUUGUUAGGCCUAACAUGUAUUUCAAUUGAAUAUAUUUGCAUUGUAUAUUGUUGAACUAACAUGUUGCAGGGCCUACUUAGACCUUUUGGUCGAGCUUUUCCCUUGGGUGGCCGUACCCACUGGGAACCAUGGAGUUGGUUCUCACCCCACGUUGUUUUGGGGUUUUACAGGUUCGCACGUGAGCGGCGCGGCGGCGCGAGGAAAGGGCGUAGAUCCAUAGAUAGCGCCCUACCCAGAGACCAGAGCUAGCAGUACCCCGUCGACAUAGCUUAGGGGUAUGGAGAAAAGGAAAAGAACGCUAUGUAUUAGUUUGUAAAAAAAAAAAAAAUGAUGUAGUAACUUGGAUUGUAAUUGGAAGUCAAAUGUAAAAAUGUAUGAAUGUGAGUGUUGUAAUAACAUAGGAUGUGUUUAUGUUGUAUGAUACCUUCCUUUUGCAAUCUUGAUUGAAUACUGUUCCUGAUUGGAACCUUUGUGUUGUAUUGAUUGCGAUGCCUUGAAUGUACAGGGGAGACUCUGUCCGUAGUACAGGGGAAACCCUGUCCAUUCGGCGCUGUCGGCGCCGCGACCUCGGCCAAAUAGGCGGGUGGUCGCGGGUCGUGACAGAAGAUGGUAUCAGAGAAUAAAGUAGAGAAUGAGAAUGGUUUAGAUGACCUAGGAGACCCUAGGAUAGUAAAACCAUAGGAGAAUAAGGCUCGUGAGAGACGAGGACUUGUGAUUGUGGCGAAAGGUUAAUGGAUUGGGUCGUGUCGGAACCUCUAAGACGGAUAUUAGAGGUAGACUCAAGGUAUUGUUUGUUCUCGAUCGAGGGUGUUCAUGUUGGGCGCGCACGACAUGAAGCCGAGUGACGAGAAUAGACAUCCUUGUAUGACUUUCGCCUGAUUGGCUUUUGAGCCGGUGUUAGUGGCCUCGUGUUCGACCCAAGUUGGUCGAGAACUAAUCGAGUUGUCUUAUUUCAGGAAACGAUGGCACCGCGUAGGCGAUCUUCGUCCAGAUCGGCGCGGGCGUGGACAAGUGGUGUCCCUGAGCAAGUCGACGCGAGCGGAGACUCAGAGCUUCGUGAACAGUUGGCCACACUCGUGGGAGUGAUGAGGCAACAAGCGGAUAUGGUGCAGCGGCAGCAGGAGGCUGCU
rnacentral:lncRNA from 1 species